GACAUUCAAAUUUUCAAAUCAGGGCCUGCACAGUUUCCCAGCCAAUCAAAUAAGUGUCCUGAGGCAUUCAAAUUUGCAUAUUGGGGCCUUCAUGGCUUCUAAGCCAGCCAAUCAUAUCUGAGGGCUGAGGAAUUCAAAUCCACAAAUCAGGGCCUGCACAGCUUCCCAGCCAGCCAAUCAUAUAUGUGGCCUCAGGCAUUCAAAUUUGCAUAUUGGGGAAUUCGUGGCUUCUAAGUCAACAAGUCAUCCAUGUCAUAUAUCUCUAAAAAUUCAUAUUUGAAUGAUAAAUUGUCAACACUUGAAGAUUCCCCCAUCUCUUCUGAACAAAACGGUGUAAGAAUGACCCUUCUAGCCCCUACGGUUAGGAAAUUAUGGUCAUUUGUUUGAGGGGAGUCGUCACUAUGAGAAAUAGACUGCAAUAAUCCUGUGCCUCUCUGUGCUGCGUGUGUAAACAGAAGCACCCGUUUUGGUGGGGAAAAGUGCACAGCCUCUCUGAUUGGUGGAUUCAAAUUCAGCAGCUCCCAGGCUGACCUAGAAACUUACUUCUCUCUCCCUGUGUGUGUGUGUGUGUGUGUGUGUGUGUGUGUGUGUGUGUGUGUGUGUGUGUGUGUGUGACAGGGAGAGAGAGAGAGAGAGAGAGAGAGAGAGAGAGAGAGAGAGAGAGAGAGAGAGAAAGCCUUUUAAUGGGAUGAUCUCAUUGUAAGAUUCAAAUUCAAUAUAUUUAGACUGUGACUCCCUCUGUGUGUGUGUGUGUGUGUGUGUGUGUGUGUGUGUGUGUGUUGGGAGAGAGAGGACCCUGCCUAUAUUUGGCAGCAUGUCAUUGUAGGAUUUAAAUUGAAUAUAGUUAGACUGGUUGACUGGAUUAGAGCCUGUGUUUGUGUGUCCCUCUGUGCAUUUGUGUUUCAAUAAGUUAUUACUAUUCUGCUAAAUCAUAGUAUUUCUGGUACUUUUCGGUACUUGUGCUAAAUACAGUAUUUCUGCUAAAUCAUACUAUUUCUGCUUUUCAUAGGAUUUAUGCCUAAUAUAGUAUUUCUGCUAAAUUAUAGUAUUUCUGCUUUUUAUAGAAUUUGUGCCUAACAUAGUAUUUCUGCUAAAUUAUAGUAUUUCUGCUUUUUAUACUAUUUGUUCUAAAUUAUAGUAUUUCUGCUUUUUAUAGGAUUUGUGCUUAAUAUAGUAUUUCUGCUAAAUUAUAGUAUUUCUGCCAAAUUAUAAUAUUUGUGCUAAAACAUAGUCUUAAUUUAAAAUUACAAUAUUCAUAGUUCAUCACAGUGUCUCUGGUAAAUCACAAUAUUUCUGCUAUGUUGUACUAUUUCUCUAAAUCACAGUGUUUCUGUAAUGUUUAAGUAUUUUUGGCUAAAUAUAUUCUUUCUGUUAUCUUAUACUAUUUCUCCUAAAUUCUUGUAUUUUUGAGAAGUUAUCAUGUUUCUGGUAAGUUACAAUAUUUCUGCUAAGCUAUUGUAUUUCUGCCAAGUAUUAUAUUUCCUCUAAGAUAUUGCAGUUCUGCUAAGUUAUUCCAUUUUAGCAAAGUUCUUUUGCUUCUGCAAAGUUUUUACAAUUUCUGCAACUUUUCAGCUUUUUCAGCUACUUUUUGCAUACAGCUUCAGCUUUAAGCAUCC
ensembl:lncRNA